UAGGGAAUCUUCGGCAAUGGGGGGAACCCUGACCGAGCAACGCCGCGUGAGUGAAGAAGGUUUUCGGAUCGUAAAGCUCUGUUGUUAAGGAAGAACGAGUGUGAGAAUGGAAAGUUCAUGCUGUGACGGUACUUAACCAGAAAGGGACGGCUAACUACGUGCCAGCAGCCGCGGUAAUACGUAGGUCCCGAGCGUUGUCCGGAUUUAUUGGGCGUAAAGCGAGCGCAGGCGGUUAGAAAAGUCUGAAGUGAAAGGCAGUGGCUCAACCAUUGUAGGCUUUUGCAACUGUUUAACUUGAGUGCAGAAGGGGCGAGUGGAAUUCCAUGUGUAGCGGUGAAAUGCGUAGAUAUAUGGAGGAACGCCAGUGGCGAAGGCGACUCUCUGGUCUGUAACUGACGCUGAGGCUCGAAAGCGUGGGUAGCAAACAGG
rnacentral:rRNA from 1 species